rnacentral:rRNA from 1 species
UGGGGAAUAUUGCACAAUGGGCGCAAGCCUGAUGCAGCCAUGCCGCGUGUGUGAAGAAGGCCUUCGGGUUGUAAAGCACUUUCAGCGAGGAGGAAGGUGGUGAGCUUAAUACGCUCAUCAAUUGACGUUACUCGCAGAAGAAGCACCGGCUAACUCCGUGCCAGCAGCCGCGGUAAUACGGAGGGUGCAAGCGUUAAUCGGAAUUACUGGGCGUAAAGCGCACGCAGGCGGUUUGUUAAGUCAGAUGUGAAAUCCCCGGGCUCAACCUGGGAACUGCAUUUGAAACUGGCAAGCUAGAGUCUCGUAGAGGGGGGUAGAAUUCCAGGUGUAGCGGUGAAAUGCGUAGAGAUCCGGAGGAAUACCGGUGGCGAAGGCGGCCCCCUGGACGAAGACUGACGCUCAGGUGCGAAAGCGUGGGGCAGCAAACAGGAUUAGAUACCCUGGUAGUCCACGCUGUAAACGAUGUCGAUUUUGGAGGUUGUGCCCUUGAGGCGUGGCUUCCGGAGCUAACGCGUUAAAUCGACCG